rnacentral:lncRNA from 1 species
AGUAAUAUUGUACAUAGGUGACUAAAACAAAUCAUUUUCUAUUCAAUAAAAGUAAGCAAAUGUAAAAUACAAAAAUGAAUGACCUAAAGCUGGUCCUCAUUUUAACCUGAGUAUAUAUUACAGGUCUGCACAACUUCAAGUCAAUAUUUUCAAUCCCACAGAUUUAUGUAUGGGAUGAGUGUACAUAAGAGUAGUAGGAAAUGAGCUGUAAUGGGAAGACUAAAAACUGGGAAAUAUUCUCAAAGUUGAAAGAGGAAUAAUGGUAAAAAGUACAGUCAUGCAUUGCUUAAUAAUAGAAUUGUGUUCUUUAGGCAAUUUUGUCCUUGUGUGAACAACAUACAAUGUACUUACACAAACCUAGAUGGUAUAGCUUACUGCACACAUAGGCUGUAUGAUAUAGGCUAUUGCUCCCAGGCUACAAAUCUGUAUAGCAUGUUGCUAUACUGAAUACCAUAGGCAAUUGUAACACUAUGGAAAGUAUUUCUGUAUCUAAACACAUCUAAGUAUAGAAAAUGUAUAGUAAAAAUAUGGUAUAAAAGAUAAAAAAUGGUACACCUGCAUAGGGCACUAACCAUAAGUGGAGCUUGCAGGACAGGAAGUUGCUCUGGAUGAGUCUCCGAGUGAAUGGUGAGUGAAUGUGAAGGCCUAGGAUGCCACUGUACACUCUGUAGACUUUAUAAACACUGUACACUUAGGCUGCACUAAUUUAUAAUUUUUUUCUUUCUUCAAUAAUAAAUUAACCCUAGCUUACAACUAUUUCCUUUAUAAAACUUGAAUUUUUUAACUUUUUGACUCCUUUGUAUAACACUUAAACCCCAGCCACAUCUCCAGCACACAAGAACUUCCAAACGCCUGAACCGCAGCGGCCACGCGUUCCUCCAGAACCUCCUCCCACAGGAGCUUGCUAUACGUGCUGGAAAUCUGGCCACUGGGCCAAGGAAUGCCCGCAGCCCAGGAUUCCUCCUAAGCCGCGUCCCAUCUGUGUGGCACCCCACUGAAAAUUGGACUGUUCAACUCACCUGGCAGCCACUCCCAGAGCCCCUGGAACUCUGGCCCAAGCCUCUCUGACUGACUCCUUCCCAGGUCUUCUCGGCUUAGCGGCUGAAGACUGACACUGCCCAAUCGCCUCGGAAGCCCCCUAGGCCAUCACGGAUGCCGAGCUUCGGGUAACUCUCACAGUGGAAGGUUUUUCUUUAGGAGAGAUUAAUCGGGAGUGAGGUCUGCCUAAACCUGAGAUGAGAAGAAUUUGUCUCCUGAGAAUAAUGAUGGAUAUCCCUCAAGAAUUGAAGAUGGGCCAGAAAGAAGAAAGCAUUGUGGCUUGGUUGAUGUACAGAAAGAGCUCUUACUGAAUCCAGUAGCAUUCCCAGUGCUGUUGAAGGUGUAAAUCACUCUAAAGGCUUUGGUGUAUGCAGUCCUGGAUUCAAAUCCUAUCUCUGAAAGCUUGAAGAAGAGAGUUGACAUUUCUGGAGCACACAAAUCAACUCAUUAAAUAAUGGUACAAAUGAAUAUCUUUUCUGACUUCGAUAGCACACAUACUAGAAUUAGAAAAUACCAAGGAGAUCAUUGUGGCCCCUGGGCAUGGGUGAUCUAUAUCAUCGUUCCCCAACCCCUGGGCCAUGGACCUGUACUGGCUUAUGGCCUGUUGGGAACCGGGUCACACAGCUGGAGGUGGUACACAGAAUGAUUACAUUUGUUCCUUGCUGUUAGGAGGAACAAGCAGAAGUUCCAUAUGCCACCUUCUUCUGCUACUGCAGCAACAAGUGAUAUUCGAGACAGUGAAGCCCCCAUCAAUUCUAGACUGAUAUGGAGCAGAGACGACCUCCUAUACACACUCCCACUACUGACCCAUGGUGGACAAGAAACCAGAAAUUUCAUUAUGUUAAGCUUCUGAGAUAUUUCUGUUUUUUCCACUGAACAUUAUUCUAAUUUAUGUGAUAUAUUUGAUUUUAGAGCUAACUUGUUCUAAAGCUUACAGUCUUUUGCUGGGCAGGGUAGCAGUUCCAGCCACUUAGUAGGCUGAAACAGGAGGAUGGCUUAAGCUCAGGAGUUUGAGACCAGCCUGGGCUAAAUAAUGAGACCCCAUCUCUUAAAAAUAUAUACAAAAUAUAUAAACAAAAAUAAAGCUUACAAUUUUUUUCAACAACAAC